ACGCGAGGAACCUUACCAGGUCUUGACAUCCAGUGCAAACCUAAGAGAUUAGGUGUUCCCUUCGGGGACGCUGAGACAGGUGGUGCAUGGCUGUCGUCAGCUCGUGUCGUGAGAUGUUGGGUUAAGUCCCGCAACGAGCGCAACCCUUGUCAUUAGUUGCCAUCAUUAAGUUGGGCACUCUAAUGAGACUGCCGGUGACAAACCGGAGGAAGGUGGGGAUGACGUCAAGUCAUCAUGCCCCUUAUGACCU
rnacentral:rRNA from 1 species